UACAGAGGGUGCAAGCGUUGUUCGGAUUCAUUGGGCGUAAAGGGUGCGUAGGCGGCGCGGUAAGUCGGGUGUGAAAUCUCGGGGCUUAACUCCGAAACUGCAUUCGAUACUGCCGUGCUUGAGGACUGGAGAGGAGACUGGAAUUUACGGUGUAGCGGUGAAAUGCGUAGAUAUCGUAAGGAGGACCAGUGGCGAAGGCGGGUCUCUGGACAGUUCCUGACGCUGAGGCACGAAGGCCAGGGGAGCAAACGGG
rnacentral:rRNA from 1 species